rnacentral:rRNA from 1 species
AACGAACGCUGGCGGCAUGCCUAACACAUGCAAGUCGAACGAGACCUUCGGGUUUAGUCGCGCACGGGUGCGCAACGCGUGGGAACCUGCCCUUAGGUUUGGCAUAACUCCCCGAAUGGGGUGCUAAUACCGGCUAAUGUCUUCCGUCCAAAGAUUUAUGGCCUUUGGGUGGGCCGGCGUGCGAUUAGCUAGUUGUUAGGGUAAAACCGUAUCAAGGCUAGGUUCGAUAGCUGGUAAGUGAGGAAGAUCAGCGACACUGGGCCGUAGACACGGUCCAGACUCCUGCGGGAGGGAGGAGAGGGGGAUAUUGGAAAAUGGGCGGAAGCAAGAUGCAGCAAUGCUGCGUGAGUGAUGAAGGCCUUGAGGAUGUAAAGCUAUUUUAUCCGGGAUGAUAAUGACGGUACCGGGAGAAUAAGCACCGGCUAACUCCGUG